AUUGAACGCUGGCGGCAUGCUUUACACAUGCAAGUCGAACGGUAACAGGCCGCAAGGUGCUGACGAGUGGCGAACGGGUGAGUAAUGCAUCGGAACGUGCCCAGUCGUGGGGGAUAACUACUCGACAGAGUAGCUAAUACCGCAUACGAUCUAUGGAUGAAAGCGGGGGACCGUAAGGCCUCGCGCGAUUGGAGCGGCCGAUGUCAGAUUAGGUUGUUGGUGGGGUAAAGGCUCACCAAGCCAACGAUCUGUAGCUGGUCUGAGAGGACAACCAGCCACACUGGGACUGAGACACGGCCCAGACUCCUACGAGAGGCAGCAGUGGGGAAUGUUGGACAGUGGUCGCAAGCCUGAUCCAGCAAUGCCGCGUGCAGGAAGAAGGCCUUCGGGUUGUAAACUGCUUUUGUACGGAACGAAACGGCUCUGGUUAAUACCCGGGGCUAAUGACGGUACCGUAAGAAUAAGCACCGGCUAACUACGUG
rnacentral:rRNA from 1 species